UACGUAGGGUGCGAGCGUUAAUCGGAAUUACUGGGCGUAAAGCGUGCGCAGGCGGUUCGUUAAGUCAGAUGUGAAAGCCCCGGGCUCAACCUGGGAACUGCAUUUGUGACUGCAUCGCUGGAGUGCGGCAGAGGGGGAUGGAAUUCCGCGUGUAGCAGUGAAAUGCGUAGAUAUGCGGAGGAACACCGAUGGCGAAGGCAAUCCCCUGGGCCUGCACUGACGCUCAUGCACGAAAGCGUGGGGAGCAAACAGG
rnacentral:rRNA from 1 species